rnacentral:misc_RNA from 1 species
AAAGUCGUAACAAGGUAACCGUAGGUGAACCUGCGGUUGGAUCAUUAACGAAUGUAUCCGGCUUUGGCCGUGUGUCUGUUCCCUCGGGAAUGGGCACAUCCUACCCACCUUUUGUGAACUGUGUUGUCUCUGGCAGCCGGGCACUGCAGCAAUGUAGUGCUUGUCAUCUGGGUUUAUUCCCAGACGUGGACAAGCUGCCAACCACUUGUUUUAACAUUUUUCUAUUUUAUAUCUGUCUUACAUUUUAGUAUUUUAAUAUACAAACAACUUUUGGCAACGGAUCUCUUGGCUCUC